rnacentral:lncRNA from 10 species
CGAGACUGGAGUGCAGUGGUACGAUCUUGGAUCACUGCAACUUCUGUCUCCCGGGUUCAAGCGAUUCUCCUGCCUCAGCCUCCCGAGCAGCUGGGACUACAGGCGCAUGCCGCCACGCCUGGCUAAUUUUUGUAUUUUUAGUAGAGACGGGGUUUCACCAUGUUGGCCGGGCUGGUCUCGAACUCCUGACCUCAGGUGAUCUGCCCGUCUCAGCCUCCCAAAUGGCUGGGAUUACAGGCGUGAGCCACCAUGCCCAGCCUACUGUAGAAUUUUCUUAUACAAUCAAAAUUGCUCAUAAAUGCGGUCCUUUUGGGUCCUUCAUUAUAACCAUAUGCUCUUUCUUGGGUGGGAUCAAAGUCUUAAACCUCAUUCAAUUCUAGUUGACUGUGGAACUCAAUAUGUUAAAAAAUAAAGAAGAUGAAUAUUGUUACUGUCUUUGUAGCAAUCUUGGGGUACUUGAUUGUCCUAAUUUUAUAAAUGAAGAAAACUUAGUAUAGAAACUGUAGUAACUUUCCCAAAGCCACAUGCUUUAUUUAAUUUUAUUUUAAAUUUAAAAAAAUUUUUUAUUUUUUGUAGAGAUGGGGUCUCACUAUCUUUCCCAGGCUGGUCUCAAAUUCCUAGGCUCAAGCGAUCCUCCCACCUCAGCCUCCCAAAGUGCUGAGAUUACAGGCAUGAGCCACUGUGCCCAGCCAUCACAUGCUUUAAAAGUGAGCAAACAGCUUGAACCAAUCUAAACAGCUUAUUUAUUUGAGGUAAUAAACUUUUCCUUCUUCCUGAGUUUUCCUAAAUUCUUCUCUAUCAUGAAAAUAGCAUUAAUAGCUAAAAUUUUAAGUGUUUAGAGGUUUUGCCUUUCAAAUCCAGUAAGUCUCCAGAGUCAACAGGUGCUACAAGAUGCUACUGGCAGUAACAGUGCUUCUCCAGGAUUGUGGUAGGUGGUGUCUAAGGGUCUUUUCAGCUUGAAGGUUCUGUUUCCCAGUUCUGUCUCACUUAAGAUCAGAUCUUGGUGAGUAUAUUGGCAAACCAUUUCAUUAUUUAAAUUUGUAAAAUACAGGCUUUAGGCCGGGCGCGGUGGCUCACACCUGUAAUCCCAGCACUUUGGGAGGCCCAGGCGGGCAGAUCACCUGAGGUUGGGAGUUUGAGACCAGCCUGACCAACAUGGUGAAACUACGUCUCUACUGAAAAUACAAACUUAGCCAGGCUUGGUGGCACAUGCCUGUAAUCCCAGCUACUCGAGAGGCUGAGGCAGGAGAAUCGCUUGAACCCGAGAGGCGGAGGUUGCUGUGAGCUAAGAUUGUGCCAUUGCACUCCAGCUUGGGCAACAAGAAUGAAACUCCAUCUCAAAAAAAAAAAAACAACAACAACAACAAAAACAGGCUUUAAUUGUAUUUCAUACUCUUUAACUAACUAGAUAUUAACUAUAAAAUAUUAACAAUUUCAAAUUUUUGUUAAAGGAAUACAUUUACACAGCUUAAAAAUUCAAGUGGAACUAAAAGGUUUACAAGGCAAUAUUUCAGUCCUCUGCCCCAUUCUCUGCUCCUCCCACCCUGUAUGCUGUCCCAGAGGCAACCAACGCCUUUCAUUUUUUAGAGCUCUUCUGACGUUUACCUUUAUGUUUCCAAAUAAUGUGCUUAUUAUGCCAUUUACUGAUUGCUGGACUUUAGACCUGUUGACUUUUUCUGCUAUGGUAGUGGAGGCUUUAGCUCUGACCUGAGCCCCACUGCUCCUGCUCCACCCACACCUCUUCCCUCACCCUCAUGACAUGAUCAUGGCUCAUACUCUGGUCAAAUACAUAUUGUUAUUUAUAUUAUUUUGACUGCGAGCAUAAUGACGUCUGGACCAAGUUGUAUUCUAUGUUACAUUUUCUUUUGGUUGCAAUUGCCUCCCUUCCCUGAGAGUGAACCAUGACUGGGGUUUUCAUUUGCUUGGCUUUCUAUGUGUCUAUUGUUCGGCUUUUCCUACUCUUCCAACAAAUCUGUCAUAUGCCCGGAAACAAUUUUUUCAAGUUCCCAGACAUGGUUCCGCACAGUCCAUCUAUUCCAUCUGUUUCUUUCCCUUUUCCCGGGGGCUGUGGUCUGGGCAGGGUGCUCUGGCCCUCUGCCCAGUGGUCCCCUGGGCUCCCCUUGCCUUUCCCCUGGGCCAGAGCUUGUGCUUUCUGGAGUCCGUGUCUUCCUGUCUUGGUCUCUACCUUCAUUUUGCUGAAGCACACACCUUCCAGGAACUUCCUCAGGAGGGGAAUGUGGAACUAAACUUCUAUGCACAUAAAGUCUUCAUAUCACCCUCAAACCCGAUCUGUCUCCCCGCCUCCAAUGUACUUUCCUUUCCUCUCUUAUUUUCUCUGUUUUUAUGAACUUACACCUUUUUUCUUCACUAUUGUGUAAUUGGCAUUUAAGAUGGGAGUAGAGAUAAAUGCACCUGUGUAGGCUCAUACUAACCACACGCCUCAGUGCAUGGGUGUUUAUCAGACUUCUCUCAAUCAAGAGCUGCGCUGAGUACUUGUGAAGGCCCUGCAGGGCUGGUGCUGAGUAAGUUCAGGAUUGGGCACCUCUGAGGGGUGAGGAAAUGGAGGUUCAGAGACGAGAAGGAACUUCCCCAAGGCCACAUGGUUAAUGAUUGGAAGAUCUGAGAUUCUAAACCAAACCUGAGUCGAUCACUUCCCUUUCUGUCCACUGCACUGAUAACUGAAGCCCAAGGGCUGAGGCCACACCUCAGCGUGUGAGGAUCAGCAGAGGAGACCCUGCUGGCUGCGGGAUGUGGAUAGGCUUUGAGGAAGAGGAAAAGCACAGGCAAAAUGUCAAAGAUAAGUGGGAAUGAGGUUCCCUGGAGCAUGAGUCGCAGGUGCUCAGGAAGGUGCUGGCAGCUCUAGAGAAGGCCAGAGAGAAGCACCCAGUGGUGGGAGCCACAGCCCCAAGACACAGGCUAAAGCCCCAGCCCAGGGUGGGUGAGCUCCACCCUGUCACCUAUGGGGUUGCAUGCAAGUGGUUCCUCUAAGCAUUGGCUUCAUCUGGGAGGCGGGGGUGACAUCGCUUCUUUGAGCCUUAUUUGGAGGACUAAACAACACAUGCAUUUUGUCAUUAGGCUGGUGCAAAAGUAAUUGUGGUUUUUUUCUAUUACUUUUAAUGGUAAAAACCGCAAUUAGUUUUGCAGCAACAUACUAACUUUAAAGUUCUUAAUACAUAUGAGAUAUUAUUUCUAUCAGCUUAGAAGGAUCCAUUAUGAUUGUAGAAGACCUGGGAUGCCAGUCUGAGGAACUCUUCUUUUCUUAAGCAAAGGAGAAACAAAAUAAUUCUGAUGGGGGAGUGACUGACCCCAGUCUGGCUCACCGGCGGCUGUGAAGUCCUGAGUGUCCUCUGGCAGCUGCCUUUGAAAGCGCAGUGGUGUCCGGGGCUCGCCACUGAAUAGCGUUUGUUCUCAGAAGGGAGCCCGGUGGAAAAUUUGAAGCUGCAGUUAGGAACUGUGUGUAUGGCCUUGGAAACUGAAGAUGUUCCUUUAAAAGAAAAAUCACAGUGUUUUUAAAACUCAGAUGACAGCUUUGACCAUUAUCUGCUUUCCUCUCCUGCCAGCUCUAGAGUUUUCUUGGGAUGUUAUCAAGGAUGAUAUCACAACAAUGCCCACUUCUGUUUUGUUUUUAACCUGAAUGACAAAUUACCAAUCAGCAGAUGUAGGCCAUCCAGGGAAGUUUCUUUUAAAUGCUGGACUUUUGCAAAAAUGUAGAGCCUUGGUGGCAAUUGUGAUUCUUUUUUUUUUCUUUUCUUUUCCCCAAUGAAGGUACUUUUUUUUAUGUCCAGUUUUGGAAGGCUCCUGAAGAUUGUUUGAGAACUUGACUGCUGUGUCAGGGCAGUGCUGACACUCUCUGUUGCCAACUGUUAUUCAUUAUUCCAAAAAAUCAGAGAAGCAAAAACGACCCCUCCAAACAACUCCAAGACAAACUCCAAGCAAAACAACAACACACACACAAACCCACAAUUUUCCUUUGGUUGCUUCUGAGAAGGAGUUUUAAUGGUAUAGUAAAUACAGCAUUUAUCGGAUGAUUUUUGCUGCCAUUGAUAUGUUUCUCUUCUUGAAAGAGGAAUUCAAAUGACAAUGAACAUUUUUGGGGUCCUCUUUUAUGGAGUUUGAUUUUCAGGGGAUUGUCAGGCAUGUCGUCUCCGGGUUCCCAUGCUGCACAGUCCCAGCACUCUCUGUGGCUCAGCCUUCCCGUCCCUUGCCCUCUGAAUACCUUGCCGUUGACUGAAUGGUCAUCGUUAGCACAGGUCAUCACAAUACAUGACUCCUGGGCAGGAGGAACAGAGGAGCGGAGGUUGUGCCAUGCAUUUAAAACCCAGUUAGCAUCCCAGUGGGUCUUCCAAGGCCGAAGAUGGCAAAACGUUUUUAUUUUACUUUGUUGAAAUCAUCUGUUUCCCUCCAAAUGGUGGGCUGUUUGGGCACAAGGUCAUGUUGUCUUCAAUUUCAUAGCCCCGGUACCCAGCAAGGAUGGCUGCCCAUAGGCUCUAUUAAGAUGCCGAGUGCAUCCGUGGCACGGCCAGGAGGAGUGUGCUGUGGUCAGCCUUCCAGAAGGAAUCAAUCUCCUGGGAGAAGUGGAGAAGUUGGCCUGCAGCAGGGGCCUCGAGAAUGGCGGGUCUCAUCCACCACCAGCAGGCUCGUCUGUUGCCCAGCAGUGCGGAAGAUGGCAAAACGUUU